rnacentral:tRNA from 2 species
CGGGGUGUAGCGCAGUUUGGUAGCGCGCUUGCUUUGGGAGCAAGAUGUCACAGGUUCAAAUCCUGUCACCCCGA